rnacentral:rRNA from 1 species
UACGAAGGGGGCUAGCGUUGCUCGGAAUUACUGGGCGUAAAGCGCACGUAGGCGGCUUGUUAAGUCGGGGGUGAAAUCCUGGAGCUCAACUCCAGAACUGCCUUCGAUACUGGCGAGCUCGAGUUCGGGAGAGGUGAGUGGAAUUCCGAGUGUAGAGGUGAAAUUCGUAGAUAUUCGGAGGAACACCAGUGGCGAAGGCGGCUCACUGGCUCGGUACUGACGCUGAGGUGCGAAAGCGUGGGGAGCAAACAGGG